CACAACUCACACUUAGCUGCCACGCCGCGCGCCGCGCCGCCACCCGCCCCGCCGCCGGGCGUCCAUCCCGCUCGCCGCUCCGUCACCCGGCCCCGCCUCCACCACGCCUCCACCACCGCGUCGCGCAAGCCACGCCGCGUCACCCCGCCACCAGCCGCCCUCAGGGGCCCUCGCCGAUGGCCCCUACUGGCGGCAGCGCUCGCGCCUGCGCCGGUGCGGUGGCCCUUCAGCUGGGGCACAAGCCGACCCGCGUCGCGGAUGCCGUCACGCCAGCCCGAGCCGCGGGUGCCGACGCCGCCUCUCCUCCGCCAGCUCUCCACGGGUCCAAGCGCUCCGCCGUCCUCGGUAUCGUGUAGCACGGCUGCGCCUCAUGGCUCGGGCGGCCGGCGGCUCAUCCUGGCGGAGCUUGGUGCUAGACGAUGAAUACACGAACAAAGGACCCUGAUGGCGUCAUGUAUUUGAGCUCAUUCAGAGGGUGAAGACACCUCAGCCUCUUAGCCAAGUCAAGCUUCAUGUGCUCUUAUGCAGGCAAGAGGUGGCUAGCCCUGCCAGUGGAUAUCUCGCGGAUGUUGGAACUGAGCCAAGUGCUGAUAACUAUGGUCUUCAACACUAAGAAGGUGAGGGAAUCCUGAAGAUUGAAUAUUUCAUUAUUUCUAUUGGUAAAUGAGAUCACGUGGUCCAAUGAGAAAAUUUGAUAGUUAUUAGAUAAAGAUAAAUCUGGUUGCAUGGUGAGUGUUGACGCUUCUUAAAGCGCCAAUUUACGUACCGCAAGCGCACGGAUCGUGGUAGCUUUUCCCUUAGAGUACUCCCCCAAGGUUUAUCAAUCCGUGGAUCAGAAGCGAACCGACUA